rnacentral:ncRNA from 1 species
UUGGCUGGGGUGGUGCACCCAUCAAACCUUAAGACACAUCUUCUAACUCAAGCUCAGGGAGGACACCUCGUGUGGAGGAGAAGGGCAAAGGCUUGCCUGAUCUUCACUUUGAGUAUGGACCAUGAAAACAGGGCCUCAUGAUCCUUUUGGCUUUUGGGGUUUUGCCCCAAACCCCAAACAUCCCUAACUCACAUCAUGUUUACACCUGUAAAUCGUGAUUUUUAUUUUUCAGAAAGAGUUUUAGAACUGUUAGAACUGAAAAUGGCAAAUGUGAAAUAACAUUUUAAAAAAUAAUUAACAGUAAUUAAGAG